rnacentral:tRNA from 1 species
AUGGUUUUACCGUAGUUGACGACGGCUUUCUUGAAGAAGGCCGGGCCCGCGACAAUGUCCUCGACGGCGUGCUGGGCGCUGAAACGGUAC